rnacentral:rRNA from 1 species
GCAGCCGCGGUAAUACGUAGGUGGCAAGCGUUGUCCGGAUUUACUGGGUGUAAAGGGCGCGUAGGCGGGCUUGCAAGUCAGUUGUGAAAUACCGGGGCUUAACCCCGGGGCUGCAAUUGAAACUGUAAGUCUUGAGUGUCGGAGAGGAAAGCGGAAUUCCUAGUGUAGCGGUGAAAUGCGUAGAUAUUAGGAGGAACACCGGUGGCGAAGGCGGCUUUCUGGACGAUAACUGACGCUGAGGCGCGAAAGUGUGGGGAGCAAACAGGAUUAGAUACCCC